rnacentral:rRNA from 1 species
CCUACGGGGGGCAGCAGUGAGGAAUAUUGGUCAAUGGACGAAAGCCUGAACCAGCCAAGUAGCGUGAGGGAUGACUGCCCUACGGGUUGUAAACUUCUUUUACAAAGGAAUAAAACGAGCCACGUGUGCAGCUUUGCAUGUACUUUAUGAAUAAGGAUCGGCUAACUCCGUGCCAGCAGCCGCGGUAAUACGGAGGACGCGAGCUUUAUCCGGAUUUAUUGGGUUAAAAGGGUGCGUAGGCGGCUGUUUAAGUUAGUGGUAAAACGUCGGGGCUACACCCUGACUUGCCGUUGAUACUGUAGGACUCGAGUUCAGACGAGGUAGGCGGAAUUAGUGGUGUAGCGGUGAAAUGCUUAGAUAUUACGUAGAACCCCGAUGGCGAAGGCAGCUUACCGGACUGCGACUGACGCUGAGGCUCGAGAGCGUGGGUAGCGAACAGGAUUAGAUACCCUUGUAGUC